UGUGUUAUUGUGUGAUCUUUGAAAAUGGCGAAUUACCAGAACCAAUAUGGUGCAACGGCCCAAUCUACAAAUGAUUACGGGAACCCACUCACCAACUACACCGGAUCAGAGCCCCAAUCUACAAAUGAGUACGGGGCUACAGAUGAGUAUGGGAACCCAGUCACCACCUACACCAGAUCAGAGCCCCACUAUACAGAUGAGUAUGGGAACCCAGUACGCGAAAGGGGGAUGAUGGACAAGAUCAAGGAGAAGCUCCCAGGUACUCAUGACCCCUACUCAUCUCAUUCUCAGACAACCUACCCCACUGCACGUUACGGUGAAACCGGCUACACUGGAUUGGAGCAGCACCAUGGGAUGAUGAACAAGAUGCCAGGUACUGACCCCUACUCAUCUCAUUCUCAUACAACCGGCACCACUGCACCUUACGAUGGAACCGGCUACACCGGAACAGAGUACCGCCAGCACAAGGGCACGAUGGACAGGAUCAAGGAUAAGCUGACUGGGACUGGUGGACAUAGGGUGGAUGAUCCCUACUCAUCUCAUUCUCAUAAAACCGCCACCACCACACCUUACGGUGGCACCACCACCACAGCUUACGGUGACAGCACCACCACACCUUCACCUUACGGUGGCACCACCACCACACAUUCACCUUACGGUGGCACCACCACCACAGCUUACGGUGACACCACCACCACACCUUCAGCUUACGGUGGCACCACCACCACACCUUCAGCUUACGGUGGCACCGCCACCACCACCUACCCCCGUGAAAAGAAGGGCAUCAUGGACAAGAUCAAAGAGAAACUUCCUGGUGGACAUCAUUAUUAAUAAUAGGGUUAUGUAAGAGAUAGAUACGUUAGGUAUCGUUUUGUGUUCAAUGUUUUAGUAUGACGUGUAUAAUAAGCGGUG
rnacentral:lncRNA from 1 species